CCUGAACUUGUGCCGCGGCUUCACGCUCUGCGUCGGCUUCAGCUACAAUGGAGUUUCGUGCGAGCUCAGAGACACCGCGUCCAUCCUCUCCGCGUCGACAGGUUGGGUCACAUACCUCAUCACUCAACAGCCUGACCUCCCACUCCAGGAUCCCUGUGCCAGUAGCCCGUGUCCUG